rnacentral:tRNA from 1 species
AGCCCCGUCGUCUAGCGGCCAAGGAUGCAGGACUUUGGAUCCUGCGACGGCGGUUCGAAUCCGCCCGGGGCUA